rnacentral:rRNA from 1 species
UACGAAGGGUGCAAGCGUUACUCGGAAUUACUGGGCGUAAAGCGCGCGUAGGCGGUUUGUUAAGUCUGAUGUGAAAGCCCUGGGCUCAACCUGGGAAUGGCAUUGGAUACUGGCGAGCUAGAGUGCGGUAGAGGGUAGUGGAAUUCCCGGUGUAGCAGUGAAAUGCGUAGAGAUCGGGAGGAACAUCUGUGGCGAAGGCGACUACCUGGACCAGCACUGACACUGAGGCACGAAAGCGUGGGGAGCAAACAGG